rnacentral:rRNA from 1 species
UGGGGGAGUAUUGGACAAUGGGCGCAAGCCUGAUCCAGCAAUGCCGCGUGUGUGAAGAAGGCCUUCGGGUUGUAAAGCACUUUUAUCAGGAGCGAAACGCUGUCGGCUAAUACCCGGCGGAACUGACGGUACCUGAGGAAUAAGCACCGGCUAACUUCGUGCCAGCAGCCGCGGUAAUACGAAGGGUGCAAGCGUUAAUCGGAAUUACUGGGCGUAAAGCGUGCGUAGGCGGUUUCUUAAGUCUGCUGUGAAAUCCCCGGGCUCAACCUGGGAAUGGCAGUGGAUACUGGGAGGCUAGAGUGUGUCAGAGGGUGGUGGAAUUCCCAGUGUAGCGGUGAAAUGCGUAGAGAUCGGGAGGAACAUCAGUGGCGAAGGCGGCCACCUGGGACAACACUGACGCUGAGGCACGAAAGCGUGGGGGAGCAAACAGGAUUAGAUACCCUGGUAGUCCACGCCCUAAAGCGAUGCGAACUGGAUGUUGGUCUCAACUCGGAGAUCAGUGUCGAAGCUAACGCGUUAAGUUCGCCGCCUGGGGGAGUACGGUCGCAAGACUGGAAACUUAAAUGAAUUGACGGGGGUCAUAGCUG